rnacentral:rRNA from 1 species
GUGUCAGCAGCCGCGGUAAUACGUAGGGGGCAAGCGUUGUCCGGAAUUACUGGGCGUAAAGCGCGUGUAGGCGGGACGACAAGUCCGGCGUGAAAGGCUUGGGCUCAACCCGAGAUGGCCGUUGGAAACUGUCGUUCUUGAGGGUCGAAGAGGAGAGUGGAAUUCCUGGUGUAGCGGUGAAAUGCGUAGAGAUCAGGAGGAACACCCAUGGCGAAGGCAGCUCUCUGGUCGACCUCUGACGCUGAGACGCGAAAGCGUGGGGAGCGAACGGGAUUAGAUACCCCUGUAGUCC